rnacentral:rRNA from 1 species
UACGUAGGGGGCAAGCGUUGUCCGGAAUUAUUGGGCGUAAAGAGCUCGUAGGCGGUUCGUCACGUCGGCUGUGAAAACCCGGGGCUCGACCCCGGGCCUGCAGUCGAUACGGGCGAACUAGAGUGCGGUAGGGGAGACUGGAAUUCCUGGUGUAGCGGUGAAAUGCGCAGAUAUCAGGAAGAACACCCGUGGCGAAGGCGGCUCUCUGGGACGGUACUGACGCUGAGACGCGAAAGCGUGGGGAGCGAACAGG